rnacentral:tRNA from 1 species
GCACAGGUAGUUCAGUGGUAGAACUCCUGCCCGGUAAGCUGAAGCCCCGGGUUCGAUUCCCGGUCUGUGCA